rnacentral:rRNA from 1 species
GCGCUGCAUUAGCUAGUUGGUAAGGUAACGGCUUACCAAGGCAACGAUGCAUAGCCGACCUGAGAGGGUGAUCGGCCACACUGGAACUGAGACACGGUCCAGACUCCUACGGGAGGCAGCAGUAGGGAAUCUUCCGCAAUGGGCGAAAGCCUGACGGAGCAACGCCGCGUGAGUGAUGAAGGUCUUCGGAUCGUAAAACUCUGUUAUUAGGGAAGAACAUAUGUGUAAGUAACUGUGCACAUCUUGACGGUACCUAAUCAGAAAGCCACGGCUAACUACGUGCCAGCAGCCGCGGUAAUACGUAGGUGGCAAGCGUUAUCCGGAAUUAUUGGGCGUAAAGCGCGCGUAGGCGGUUUUUUAAGUCUGAUGUGAAAGCCCACGGCUCAACCGUGGAGGGUCAUUGGAAACUGGAAAACUUGAGUGCAGAAGAGGAAAGUGGAAUUCCAUGUGUAGCGGUGAAAUGCGCAGAGAUAUGGAGGAACACCAGUGGCGAAGGCGACUUUCUGGUCUGUAACUGACGCUGAUGUGCGAAAGCGUGGGGAUCAAACAGGAUUAGAUAC